ensembl:lncRNA
GAAAAAAAGAAAAAAAUGUGCAAUAAUUUACUGACAGUUCCUAGCUUAGGUGUGUUAAUGGAGAGCCUCUUUAUUAAGAGCGCACACUGUACACUCUAGAAAAACAGCAUCCCUUUAAAAGCGCUCAUCUGUGAGGUCAGACACCUAUAGUAGAAGUUUUGAAUAGUAAACAGGGGACUCUAAUAAAAAUACUCUUAUUAUCUGGCUAUUUUAGAACCCUUAAAGGGCAUAAUUAUUGAAGAUUUAGGUACUUCACUAAAGCAUGUAUAUAUUAUUGCCAACAAGAAAAACCUGAAGAUUAGGGGAACUUAGUUCUGUAAACUGUCUUGGAAUGUUAAUCAGAAUUUAAACUGUUUUAAGCAGAAAACCAGAUAGAUUCUUUUGCAGAUAUAGAAAACUUCCUAACUUAUUUAAACUUGGCAUUUAACACUUUGUGUUACUUAGAUAUGCAGUUGCUAGGUACUAACAUCCCAUUCUUUUCUGUAUCAGGGAUUAUUACAAUCAAACUCAGUGACAUGGUACAAAUCUACAACUUUAAUGGUGGAAACUAAAGAAUUACAAAGAACUGUGUUUUCCCGAGUGCCAAAAAAAAAAAAAAAAAAAGCCACGAGCCUCCUUGCACAAAAAUGAUAGCAUUUUUUGCUUUUUUUUUUUUUCCUUUUGCAUUAGUUCAAAUAGUUAUCUAGUACCACCUUCCAGGGUCUCCACACAAUUAAAACACAACCACAUAGCUUAUUUUGCCAUUUACAACCACAUUAAUUGUAUUUGAGAAAAAAUUUCUAUUCUAUAAGUGGUAUAAGGAGAGAAAAGAGGAAGAAGGAAGGAGAGAAAGAAAGAAAGAAAGAAAGAAAGAAAGAAAGAAAGAAAGAAAGAAAGAAAGAAGAAAAGGAAGAGGAGAAUGGGUUGAAUUAAAAAAGACAAAAACUUGAAUUGAAGCUGGGGUGAUCAAAAUCUGUUUCCAGAGAGCAAUAAUGUGCCACUCCCAGGUACUUCAAUAUCAGAAGGACCUGUGGACCGGUCACCUCUGUAAAUGACCAUCCUUGUCGUCAUUGAAUAUUGUCUAAAUGACUUUGGCUCCAUAAUUUCACUAAGUCACUUGAGGAUGUUUCAUCAGUAAUUAUUUCUGGAAGGAAAGAAAGCAAAUCUAAAGAAAGAAACUAAAUACACUGUAGCAAGAAGUAACUCCUAAAUCAUGCUUUCACGUUUUACCAUCUCCUCAGCUAUAAAAAAAAACCUGUAGUUUGAAGAUUUUUAGACUGCUGUUAAUUUGAAAUCUGUUCAUCUUACUGUGGAGUUUGAUUUGUUUGUUUGUUUGCUUCCUGUUUGUUUUUAAAGAUGUUUUUAAUUAGAGUUUUUUAAAAGAAGGAUGGAAUUUGGUUGCUAUUUCAUGGUAGAACCUGAGACUUUGUGGUUCUUCAUGUCCUCUGUAAAACUUGGUGUCAGAGUCAUGAGAUUUGAGGUUGUCCCUUCUAUUCUGCUUUAUAUUACUGCCCAUCAGGAAAUGGGAACCUGGUGAAUAUAUAAUGAAUUGUAAAAUAUUUUAAUGUGUAACUUUUUCAACUGUGAAACUGACUAUUGGUUUUUUUUGUUUUUUGUUUUUGUUUUGUUUUUUUGAUGAAAACAGCUGCUGAUAAAGUAUUUUGUGUAAAGUGUAGUUCUUAUUAAUCAGGAAAUGAUUACUCGUUUAGAUGUAUAUGUCCCUUGAACUUUAUCUUAAACUCAUUAGUAAUUGUCAUAAGCAAAGCACAGCCCAAUUGCAUCUCUGCCUAUCAGGACUCUGAUGGCAUCUCAGAAAGGAUGAGCAGCCUGUCCUAAGGGUACAGUGGGAACCUCAUAGCACAUAGACCUCAGUUUGUUCCUUAACAUAAGUUUUGUAUAUUUGUUUGAUUUGUAGUUUGGUCAAAUAGUCCAUGCCUGCCAGCUCUUUGAAGAAAUUUAAUUUCCAGCAAAUAUGUUAUACCUAGUAUGUUAAUCUUUUCUGACUAUUACAGUGUCCACUGUUCUCUGUGUCUCUGCAAACUGCAACUUGGGCUGGACCCACACACUCAAUAAUCCACCUUAAGAGUUAUUUUCAUGUCUAUGACAUCACUAAAAUAGCAAAUUCAAAUUUGUGGCACUAUAGAUCAUAUUGCUUCUGCUUCAGAUGUAUGGGGGGUGGGGGUGGAGGAGGGCCUGAGCAGGAGAAGGCUGCAAGUUACAAGGAUGUAUCACACAUACUAGAAAGGAAUCACUUAAACUCAGUCUUGACAGCAUCUUUAAUUAGUGUAACUCUUGAUAGCAGAGCAAUACAGCUGAGCUGUUUUAAACAGACAAGCAAAAGCAUUUUAGUGAUUAAAACUGCAAACCAAUCUUUUUCUUCCUUCUUACCAAAAAUUAUUUUACUCUCUGGAAAGAUGUUGGGCUCUAGCUUAGAAGAAUUGUACUCCUGUUAAACCUGUUAACUCCGUCCCCAAAAAUUCUUAAGGGAAAUAGCUAAGUUGCCAUUCUGUGCCUCAGGUCUCACAACAGACGAGCCCUGCAUUUUUAUGUUUUCAAGUCAGACUCAGCAUGCCUUACAGUUCAUGGAGACGGCAGGGUGCUAAAAUGUCAAGACUCCCGCCACUUGGAAAAGUUAUAUAGUCAGAGCAGCCUGUGGUGCCGGCCGAUUCUUGUCUGUCAUCCUUACCUCGUUUACUUUCUUUUAUUGUUUUGCUAGAACGGAUGGGUCAAGGAUCUUUAAUGAAAGGUAUAAACACAUGGAAAGGGUGUUUCCUAAAGUUCAGAAGAGAUUUGCUUGCGUUAGGAGUCACCCAGAUUGCAAUGGCAAUCUUGAAUGAGUUUUUGUGGAAUCUUCACUUGGUGAAGGUGUACACCUCUGUUUAUUAUGCAGUGCCUUUCCCUUUUCUUGGCUUUUGGGUAUGACAGGGUCUAAGCUGUGUGCUUGUUAGAGCAAAGGGAACAGGAAUAGAAGGGGAUUCUCUCACCUCUCAGUGUCAGAAAGAAUGUUUGUUGGUGGACAGGAUGAAAGUGAAUCUCCAUAUAGUGUAUGGGUGGGUCUGAUAGUUGCUACUAACAGUAGACUCCAGUCUUCAUGUUAGUAAGUACAAAACAACAACAACAACAAAAAAGUUUUAUAAGCCAGGUGGACUUUUGUAGCCUCAUCUACUGUACCACAGUCAUUUGCAACAGAAUGAUGUAAUUUUUUUCAGUACUGUCUUUGUUGAUCUUCUAGGUUAUCAAGGAGACAGAAAACUGGCAGUGUUUCCUACUAAAGUAUUGGAAUGUGGCUCAGUUAGAAGGACUGGCAAGUAUGUGUUGAAACCCUGGGUUUGAGCCUCAGCACCACACAGAAGACCAUCAAAAGAGACAUUUCCCAGUUGCCUACACCUGAAGCAAGCCUGCCUGAAGCAUGUUUCCCUCAGCCCAAAGCAGAGAGAAGGGGAGAAGCCAAGACUCCAUUGCCUAUCACCGUCACUCUCCAGACUGAGCCACGUUGCUAAUUUGGGACUUGAAUUUAACUACUAACAGGCUUCAAAUUGGCUUAGAAUCAGGUGUGACUCUGAUUCCACCAACAUGUCAAAAGUUGUUUCAAAAGUCUCAUUCUGUUGUCUAAAUUGAAGGGUUUUCAUUUUUGUGUGUGGAAUUGUAAAGAUUUGUUGAGGUACUUCAGAAAAACAGCAAGCUCUUAGCUCACAUGUUCAUCUUAAGCUGGAAGACCUUGCUGGAAGUCUUGUGACAUUUACGGAGCCACCAAAGUUGACUUUUCUACCUUUUACGUGUGUGAGUAUUUUGCCUGUAUGGAUGUAUAAGCAACACACUCAUGUAGUGGCUGCAAAGGCCAGAAGCGGGUUGAGUAUCUUGGGACUGAAGUUACAGAUGUUUGUGAGCUGCAAUUUGGGUGCUGGGAAGCAACUGUUCUUACUUGUUUUGUUUUCAUGGACAGGGAUUCUCUGUGUAGCUAUGACUGUCCUGGACCACGCUGACCUCGAACUCAAAGAGUUUCACCUGCAUCUGCCUCGGAGUGCUGGGAUUAAAGGUGUGCGCCACCACUGCCCAGCUGAAGCAAGCAUUCUUAACCACUGAGCCAUCUCCAGCCCCCUAGAUGAUUCUGUUACAGAACACUGACUAUCCAAGUGGGACCAUUCUACAACAUGCAUUAUUUGAGGUGAAUGUUGGACUCAGGUAUAGCUUACUUCACACUUGAAGUUAUUUCUCCUAUGUCCACAGUGGGCAGAGACUAAGUAAAAGAACCGGUGCAUGACAAGGUCAAAUACAAACAAGUGUAAACUGGGUUUUCUAGGCAGUAGCUUUCUUGGAAUGAAGGGUAAAGGAAGAAUGAACUGCAAUAAAUGUGGCAG